rnacentral:rRNA from 1 species
UACAGAGGGGGCAAGCGUUGUUCGGAAUUACUGGGCGUAAAGGGCGCGUAGGCGGCCCGCUAAGUCGAACGUGAAAUCCCCCGAGCUCAACUCGGGAACUGCGUCCGAUACUGGUGGGCUUGAAUCCGGGAGAGGGAUGUGGAAUUCCAGGUGUAGCGGUGAAAUGCGUAGAUAUCUGGAGGAACACCGGUGGCGAAGGCGGCUCUCUGGGACGGUACUGACGCUGAGGCACGAAAGCGUGGGGAGCAAACAGG